rnacentral:rRNA from 1 species
CCUACGGGUGGCAGCAGUAGGGAAUAUUGCUCAAUGGGGGAAACCCUGAAGCAGCAACGCCGCGUGAAGGAUGAAGGUUUUCGGAUUGUAAAACCCUUUUGUUAGAGAAGAAAAUGACGGUAUCUAAAGAAUAAGCACCGGCUAACUCCGGGCCAGCAGCCGCGGUAAUACGGAGGGAGCAAGCGUUACUCGGAAUCACUGGGCGUAAAGAGCGCGUAGGCGGGAUAGCAAGUCAGAUGUGAAAUGCUAUGGCUUAACCAUAGAACUGCAUUUGAAACUGUUAAUCUAGAGUGCGGGAGAGGUAGGCGGAAUUCUUGGUGUAGCGGUAAAAUCCGUAGAGAUCAAGAGGAAUACUCAUUGCGAAGGCGGCCUGCUGGACCAUAACUGACGCUGAUGCGCGAAAGCGUGGGGAGCAAACAGGAUUAGAUACCCUAGUAGUC